rnacentral:rRNA from 1 species
GAUGAACGCUGGCGGCGUGCCUAAUACAUGCAAGUCGAGCGAACAGACGAGGAGCUUGCUCCUCUGACGUUAGCGGCGGACGGGUGAGUAACACGUGGAUAACCUACCUAUAAGACUGGGAUAACUUCGGGAAACCGGAGCUAAUACCGGAUAAUAUAUUGAACCGCAUGGUUCAAUAGUGAAAGACGGUUUUGCUGUCACUUAUAGAUGGAUCCGCGCCGCAUUAGCUAGUUGGUAAGGUAACGGCUUACCAAGGCAACGAUGCGUAGCCGACCUGAGAGGGUGAUCGGCCACACUGGAUCUGAGACACGGUCCAGACUCCUACGGGAGGCAGCAGUAGGGAAUCUUCCGCAAUGGGCGAAAGCCUGACGGAGCAACGCCGCGUGAGUGAUGAAGGUCUUCGGAUCGUAAAACUCUGUUAUUAGGGAAGAACAAAUGUGUAAGUAACUAUGCACGUCUUGACGGUACCUAAUCAGAAAGCCACGGCUAACUACGUG